rnacentral:lncRNA from 1 species
GAUCUCUAUAAAUGGAUGAGGACUGACAGGAUUUGCAGUGAGGCAGCCACAUCUGUACAGAAGAAGCAGAGGAUAGAAAAUACUUAACAGAGAUGUGAAUAGUGACUAAAACAAGAUGAACAGCAGAUGAGAUGGAAAUGGAAAACCAAGAUAACACUGAAGAAGCAGGAGAAGAGUCUGCAAUCAAAGCUGUAACACCAUCUGUGACAUAUUGCAAAGGCAAAUGUCCUCUCUGUUUUCCAAAAUGUUCUGGUGUCUUCUCUGACGUUCCAGUAAAAGAGGAACGUUCACCUAAAGCCAAGUGUGAUCCAUUAAAUAAACCUGGUGAUAUUGAAAACUCACAUAGUAAUGAUGAAAGGACAUCAAUAGGAGGUGAGUCUGAAAUUAAAUCAGUAAAACCAUCUGUAACCAGAGAGAUACUAAACAUUUUAACCCUUUGUUUAUUCUACAAUCCCAGGACCAGGAUGGACAGCAUCUGUCAUGUUCAUCAUUGUUCGAAUCAUGUCCACAUUUCUGAGAUGGAUGUCCAACAUGUUCACUUCUCUUUGUAAAGAGCCUAAAGCAAAUGAAGUUCCAGUGAUAACAAAAGAAAUUUUGAUCAGGAUCAACAGAAUUGAACUAGUCCUGGUCAACAGCUCAGAACUAACAGGUCAGUGCCACAAAGUAUUUAUAAUACAUACAAAUAUGUACAGUACAUAGUUUUACUUAUGCUAGUUCUAACCUGUCC